ACCGGUCUUCGGUCAAGGGUAUACGAGUAGCUGCGCUCCCCUGCUAGAACCUCCAAACAAGCUCUCAAGGUCCAUAAAUCAUAGAGUUAGUAUGUGAUGAAGCUGGGAUUUGAAUUCAAGCAGAGAACAUGGUUUUGACCAUUAUGC
rnacentral:snRNA from 1 species